rnacentral:rRNA from 1 species
GAGUGAACUAGCUAACUGAAAUCACAAGAUCCACUACUUGUGGUGAAUGUAAUAACGUAAGGGAAAAAAAUGAUAUUACCUUACUAUUAGUGUUGUCCAAAACUGGUGCCAGAAGACUCGGUAAGGCCAGAGACGCAAACGUUAGUCGUCCUAAUCAGGCGUAAAGGGUAUGUAGGCUGCUUUAAAAGUUUUAUAUUUAAUAGCUAAUAUAAACAAAGUUUCAACUUUUAAAUAGAAAAAUAUAAAAUGAAUUAAAGCUAGGAUCAAAUUGAGGAUAAUAAAUAACACCUAGUGUAGGGUUUAAAUCUGAUGAUAUUAGGUGGAGUACUAACGGUGAAAGCUUUUUAUCUAGAAAUGAUUGACGCUGAGAAACGAAGGUGAGAAUAGGAAAUAGGAUUAGAUACCCAGAUACCUCUCACAGUCAACGAUGAAUGGUGGUUGUUACUUAGUUUUAUUUAAGUGAUAACGAUGUUAACACGAUAACCAUUCCGCCUUGCGAGUACGGUUGCAAAACUGAAACCAAAAAAAUUAGUCGGUCUCGAAGCAAA